CUUUACUGUAGCCUGGUAUUGGGUUCGGGCUUUGACUGCGCAGGAUAGGUGGGAGACUAUGAAGCUGCCCUUGUGGGGGCAGUGGAGUCAUCAGUGAGAUACCACUCUGUCAAGGCUAGAAUUCUAACCGUCUGCCGUUAUCCGGCGACGGAACAGUAUCAGGUGGGCAGUUUGACUGGGGCGGUCGCCUCCUAAAUGGUAACGGAGGCGCGCAAAGGUUCCCUCAGGCUGGUUGGAAAUCAGCCGAAGAGUGUAAAGGCAGAAGGGAGCUUGACUGCAAGAGCAACAACUCGAACAGGGACGAAAGUCGGCCUUAGUGAUCCGACGGUUCUGUGUGGAAGGGCCGUCGCUCAACGGAUAAAAGUUA
rnacentral:rRNA from 1 species